UCCAGGGUAGCUUAGUGGACAUGGCAUCUGUAAGUGGAAUCUCCCAGUAAGUGGAACACUGUGAGUUCGAUUCCCAUCCCUGGAC